UACGUAGGGUGCAGGCGUUAAUCGGAAUUACUGGGCGUAAAGCGUGCGCAGGCGGUUUGCUAAGACAGGUGUGAAAUCCCCGGGCUUAACCUGGGAACUGCGCUUGUUACUGGCAAGCUGGAGUGUGGCAGAGGAGGGUGGAAUUCCACGUGUAGCAGUGAAAUGCGUAGAGAGUGUGGAGGAACACCGAUGGCGAAGGCAGUCCC
rnacentral:rRNA from 1 species